GGAAAAUUUAAUAAUACAUAUAACUUUGUGUGGGCAUGGCUGAUUUUUCCGCUUUUUCCACAAAAAGAAUAAACUUUUGCAUAAACUAAAUGAGGACCAUUUCAACUUUCUAUAUUUCAUAAUUUGUGAGUGAUGAACAAUAACUUUUUUUCUUAGAGAAAUGGAGUUGCAAUCAGCCCGCGCUUUACUGCGGAUGUGGGCUCACACCGAUUUCGCCCAUUUUCAAUGAAAGCCCACGACCAAAAACUCCCCUUAUUUCUCUAAAUUUGAAGCCGAUGUCUUCAUUUUUGCGAUCAGGGAAGCGUCGACUAUAUACAGUCAGACGUGGCUUAAUCGAUUCAGAAUUUCGAGUUGAUCAAGAGUUUGCAUAGUUUAUGGGAUCUCUGAAGCUGUCUACUGGGUGUUGCAAACAUUAUGAUAAAUGAAGCCAUCCCUCGCUGCUUUCUGGGUUAUCAUCAUUCAUGCCAGCAUUCGGUCUACAAACAUUUUCUAAUGUCACAGUACUUCAGUAAACAGUUGUGGGAUAAAAACGACAGGGGAACUCACAUUAACACAAGAGUUAAGGAAUGUCAACAAAACCGGUGACUUAACAACAAAGAAAAUCCGCGAUGUUUGUGGAGAUAUAUUGAAGGUCAGCGACGUAGGCUUAGAAAUUUUGCUGCAACCUCUAGUGAAAGCUGAUCGAAAAUUAACGAGACGCCUGAGACCCGCAUAGUUCACUAUAUAAAGAUACCCACACGAAAUUGGAGAGGCUUAUAGGCAAGGAUUAUGAGUAACGCAUUUAUUAUCUGAGAUAAGAGGAAAUGUCUUUGUCAACCAAUCCGGAAUUCGUAGAGAUCCGUUUUACAACGAAAUUGCUACUGGAGACGAAACAUGCAUUCCGAGCAAUGGCUUUCUACCGUCC